UGGGGAAUUUUGGACAAUGGGGGAAACCCUGAUCCAGCCAUCCCGCGUGUGCGAUGAAGGCCUUCGGGUUGUAAAGCACUUUUUGGCAGGAAAGAAACGUCGCGGGUUAAUACCCCGCGAAACUGACGGUACCUGCAGAAUAAGCACCGGCUAACUACGUGCCAGCAGCCGCGGUAAUACGUAGGGUGCAAGCGUUAAUCGGAAUUACUGGGCGUAAAGCGUGCGCAGGCGGUUUCGGAAAGAAAGAUGUGAAAUCCCAGAGCUUAACUUUGGAACUGCAUUUUUGAACUACCGGGCUAGAGUGUGUCAGAGGGAGGUGGAAUUCCGCGUGUAGCAGUGAAAUGCGUAGAUAUGCGGAGGAACACCGAUGGCGAAGGCAGCCUCCUGGGCAUAACACUGACGCUCAUGCACGAAAGCGUGGGGAGCAAACAGGAUUAGAUACCCUGGUAGUCCACGCCCUAAACGAUGUCAACUAGCUGUUGGGGCCUUCGGGCCUUGGUAGCGCAGCUAACCGCGUGAAGUUGACCGCCUGGGGAGU
rnacentral:rRNA from 1 species